rnacentral:rRNA from 1 species
UACAGAGGCUGCGAGCGUUAUUCGGAUUCACUGGGCGUAAAGGGUGCGCAGGCGGCCGUGUGUGUGAGGCGUGAAAGCCCGGGGCUUAACCCCGGAAUUGCACCUCAAACUACACGGCUAGAGCAUUGGAGAGGGUAGCGGAAUUCACGGUGUAGCAGUGAAAUGCGUAGAUAUCGUGAGGAACACCAGAGGCGAAGGCGGCUACCUGGACAAUUGCUGACGCUCAGGCACGAAAGCGUGGGGAGCAAACAGG